UAAAUUUCACAAGUGUGGCAGUCUAUGAUUUGCCUCAUUCCCUCAGCAGCAGGAGCAUUGAUGAGAUUUUGUUUAAUGUUUCACUGGUGAAAGAUAACAGAUGCUGACAGGACUGAGAAGGCAGCCAUUGUUCCAGAGAAGGAAACUGUCAUUAAGACGACCUCUUCGAAGACAGGACAGACCUCGGGAGAAGUGAACUCCGUGGUCCGGCUGCAUCCGGACUGAUUCCUGGUUAAAAGUGGAACCACAACUGAACGUAAUUUGUUCUACGAGUGGUUCAAGAACCCCGAGCUGCUGCCUUAAACGAGAUGAUGAAUGUUGUCAUUUUCAAGAGAGAGAAUAUGGCCUGAGGAUAUCUGAGAGACACAGAAAUUUGUGGCGCUCAGAAAGAGGAC